rnacentral:rRNA from 1 species
CAGCAGUAGUGAAUCUUCCGCAAUGGACGAAAGUCUGACGGAGCAACGCCGCGUGAGCGAUGAAGGCCUUCGGGUCGUAAAGCUCUGUUGUCAGGGAAGAACAAGUACCGGAGUAACUGCCGGUACCUUGACGGUACCCGACCAGAAAGCCCCGGCUAACUACGUGCCAGCAGCCGCGGUAAUACGUAGGUGGCAAGCGUUUUCCUGAAUUAUUGGGCGUAAAGCGCGCGCAGGCGGUUCUUUAAGUCUGAUGUGAAAGCCCCCGGCUCAACCCGGGAGGGUCACUGGAAACUGGGGAACUUGAGUGCAGAAGAGGAGAGGGGAAUUCCACGUGUAGCGCUGAAAUGUGUAGAGAUGUGGAGGAACACCAGUGGCGAAGGCGCCUCUCUGGUCUGUAACUGACGCUGAGGCGCGAAAGCGUGGGGAGCGAACACGAUUAGAUACCCCGGUAGUCCACGCCCUAAACGAUGAGUGAUAAGUGUUAGAGGGUUUCC